CUUGGACCGUUCUGAAGAGGCAGGAAUUGAAGAAAUUGUUGAAAUCAUGAGUGGAUUUUCAAGAGAUGGUGAGGAAGCCUCCAACAUCAACAAGCUUCAAGCGAGGAAAGCAGUUAUGAGUAGGAUGUUGGUGAAGAGCCUGCAAGCUGGGGAUGCCGUGUUUGAGAGAAUAUCCCAUGCUGUUUAUUUGGCUGCAAGAGGAGUAGUGCUUGCAGGGAAUGGCCCUCAAGGAAGAAAAUUAGCAGAAAUGGCACUCCGGCGGGUGGGAGCUGUUGAUCUGACUGAUAGAGUGGUGGAAGCUGCUGAAAUAUCGCUGGCAGCAGCCACGGUGUCGGUUAAUGUUCAUGGGCAAUGGUAUACAUAUCUGACUGAUAACAUGUGAUUGGUUUGACAUGAAGAAGAAUGAAGUUAAUUACAAGGUGGAAAGAAGAAAAUAAUGCACACACCUGUACAUAGUAGUGGGUGUACAUUUAUGUUUUAAGUAUGAACACAGGAUGGAGGGUUGUUAAUAUGAAGAAAUAUUUCAUGAAUAGGAGAGGGAUGUUGUAAAUAAUAUUUAUAACUGAAUUGAAUGUUUCUUUUCUAUUCUGAUUAAGCUCCCUUUAUUUUCUGUCCAGACUCCAGAGAAAUAAAGUCUGUCUGUCUGUCUGCAUGUCUGUUAAUAACAUUUGGGAUAUAAAUAAUUGCUUUGAUGUUUCAUACGCUAAGUUUCUCUUUCAUUUUGCUACUUGUGAUAUGACCUAUAACCAAAAGUUCUUAGUUGUUAGAAUGGAUUUGGUUCAGGUAAGGAAGGAUGGAAACAAGCAAAAGCUUGUGUAAUCUCUGUAAAUCAUUGGUAACAUAGUUCUGGAAAAUCCAAUUGAAGUAAUGUUUGACCGCUUUUUUGUGGAUUAGGUACCUUAGAAAUGAGAACUUGCACAGAGGAGUGAAUUUUGUAUUGCAUGAAGAGAGUGAAUAAGCUCAACAUAACACCAUUCUUCAUUCCUUUACAAAAUUAGGAAGUUUAAAUGUGAAUGAAUCAACUUACAGUAUUCUUCAUGAUGUAUGAAUCUUUCUGCGAUAUAAACAAUGAGAACCAAGAUGGAAAUUGGAAUUCCUUCAAUGAACAGCAGCAACUUCCUCACUCCGGUGCUCCCCACCUUCCAUCCCCAACAAUCUUUGUCACGGUUUUUGACAAAUUAAAGCUACAAACACCUUAGCUAUUGAAAAGUAUAAGCCAAAAGAAAACAACCCUGUCACUUUCUGGUUAGCAAUAAGAUAUCAUACAUUUCAACCACAUAGAACCUACAAAAUGAUUUAAGAACACAACUUAUAAUUUGCAGAUUGGAAGGAUAGUCUUCAUGGUUGGAGAACAUACAAGUGGCUGUGAAUGUAUAAUUCUUGAAUAGAGUUGAGAAGUGUAUGAAGAUAUUAGGAGCUAUGUGAUUGUUCGUAUAUCAAGAUGGUCUGUGUCUUUGCUACUGUCUUCCAUGGGGAGAGCCAUGGGGUACUCAUUUCCAAAUGUUCAGUGAGAAAAUCAAAUUGAAAGCCUGCAGUGAAUAUCAAUAAAUUAGCCUAUGGAGAAUUUGAGGCUCAUGAGUAUAUAUCAAGAAGACAAGUCACUUAUUAUACCUGGAGAGCUGCUUGGCACCAUGUCUUAUGACCAUAGGCAACAAGAACGUCAAAGUUAAUUUGUGUAUAAGGACAUUUGAGACUAGAACUGACAAUUCAAUCUUAAUAUUGAAGCACAAGAUGUUGAACAUCAACUUCUGUGAAGGAUUAGAGUUUAGGGCAAGUAGAUAUGCCCUUAAAGGAACAGUUAGAUGUCAAUCACAACUGACCUGAAAUUGGCUAGAUCGAAAUGGUACUUCAAACACAUAUUGAGAGGUGCUUUGACUUCUUCUAUGUCUCUGCCUUACAAGGAAGAGAAUACUUCAAAAAAUCCACAUAAUCAUUGGUAAGUACAAGAAGACCCCAAUAUUCUGUGUCUGUUUUCAACUGCUCUGUUGGAAGAAAAAAAAAAAGGACAAAACCCCUCUAAUUGAAGGAAGGGAGCAAAGUAGCAUAAGAUGCUACUUUCCCAUGCCAGUCUUUUGUAUUAUGAAGCUUUGAACCAUCUCAACCCAAAGGAUAUCCAUCAAUCUAAUAGUUCAUCAUGAUUUGCAAAACACAGGUUUGCAUGCAACAAUGACACUAAACAAUAAAGAUUGAUGCUAGUUUAGCUUAUUAGAGAACAAAGGACUACUGAGUCAGACAUCUGUUUUCCAUUGGAGAUGGUGCCCUAAUCAAGAAGAUUAAAGGGUGAUUGGAGUUGGAAGUGUCAUAAUCACCUGAAAGAAAACAAUUGCAAAGACAUGGACAGAUGCACGUAAAAUGUAUGUAUCCAUUAACAAAUGGUUAAUUGAGAGGAAGACAUCAUUUUUGAAACCAAAAGGAUUUCAGGUUUCUUAGCUUUGGUAGUAACACACCCAAGAUCUCCUUGUUUAAUACAAAUCAUCUUCCUAGAACUAAAACAGCAGCAUCCUCAGACGCCUUUGCAGAAGCUCUCAGCACCAGUUAAUGAAGGUGACUCAUGAGGGAUGGUCAAAGGGCUGGCUGAGAUAUCUGAAACAGAAGACAUGUUUAUUAUCUGUCUGUGUACAAUGGGAAUUCCUUGUAUUCAGGAUGUCAAAAUCUUUCUAAACAUCCGACUCUGCAGAUACAAACAAUGGGAAUUCCUCCAAUGAGAAGCACAGGAACAUUGUCAAUUCUAAGAAAAGGAUCCUGUUUCUGAAUAGGAUACAUGACAGUGAUCUAAGUAAUCAUCCCAACAGCAACAUGAGACAGAAGACCUAAUAAAAACCAAAACAAGAACAAAAUGACAUCAAAAUUAGGAAAGAAAUAAAUGCAGCAAAAUCAUAACAAAGAUGCUAUAUUCCUGUAUCCUUGCCUUAGGAAUGUAACUAAUUGGUGAUCUCUCCCUUUAUGCAAGCAGAAGCACAGGAAACACCAUCUCUGGUAAAAUGCUGACUGCCAAACCAAAAUAGAGCAACCUCAGCCAAACAUGACCUGACUUGACCAAUUCAGUACUAGAAACAUAGAAGCCAUUGUAGUAGUGUACUUGUCAUCUCUCUGUUUAAUAUCAGUUAAGUUUUCAGGCACUGAAAGAGCAGAACCUUCCUCACUCCACCUUCCAUCCCCAGCAACCUUUGAAAUAAUUUUGUUACAAAUUAAAACAACAAAUGCCUUAUUUAUUGAAAAGCAUAAGCCCAAAGAAAACAUACCUGUUUCUUUCUGGUUAGGUAUAAGAUACCACACAUUUCAACCUCAUACAACCUACAGAAUGAUGUAAGAGCAACUUGUAAUUUGCAGAUUAUGAAGAGGGUCUCCUCUGUUUUACCAUCAGAAAAUGGACCAAAGCAAUCAAAAUAUUUCUGUAACCAUAAAUUAGCCAAAAAAAUGUGCCCAUGUAUGCUUAUGUAAGAGAAAAUUAGAAAUCAGCCUUGCCAAUUGGAAAGGUAACUUACUUGAUUCAUGGAGAGUAUACAAGUGACUUUGUUUAGUAUGAGCUACCUGGAUUCAAAUAUUUCUUCACUCUUGAUAUCUUUGUUCCUGAUUUGUAGCUUAAUAAGAAAAAUGAAAAAAUAAGAAUCUUAAACCAAACAAACAGAGCAUAAAAUUGACUUUUGUUAAUGUGUAAUUCUUGAAUAGAGUCAAGAAGUGUAUAAAGAUUCUUAUGAUUGUCCAUGAGUAGAACUAUUAUGAUUGUCCAAGGGGAGUUGAACUUGGGUGUUGAAAAUUACCAAUGAAAGAGUCGAGGGCAUGUAUCUUGGCUGUUGUCUUUCAUGGGGAGUCAUUGAAGAAAGAUCAUUGCCAAAUGUCUAGUGAGAAAAUCAUAUGGAAAGCCUACAGUAAAUGUCGAUAAAUUAGUCCAUGGAACAGAAAUAGAGGCUCAUGAGUUUAUUUAAUAAAACAAUUCCCUUAUUAUACCUCAAGAACUGAUUGGCACAAUGUGUUAUGACAAUAGGCAACAACAUCUUAAAAGUUUGUGUAUUAGGAGACUUGAUACUAGAACCACAAAUCCAAUCUUAAUAUCUUGCAGCACAAGAUGUUGAAGAUCCACUUCUAUCAAGGAUGGAGCUCAGGACAAGUAGACGUCACACACAACUGAACUGAACUUGGCAAGAUUGACAGUUCCCAACGACCAGAGCUUAGAGGUGCUUUGACUUCUUUCUUCUGCAAGUACAAGAAGACCUCAAUAUGCCGUAUCAUGACGAUGUAAGAGUGAAGGAAGGGGGUAAAGUAGAAGACAAGUGGCAUCAAGUCAAAAGAUGAGAUUUUGAGUUUGAGACACUAGGCAAUUCCAUAUCAACACAAAUUGGACUUAAAAUAGUGACCGAAACCAAUUGAAUAAUAGGCUCUUUUGGAGGGAUCCUUUUUCUAAUUUCAUAAAUUCUCAGACUCUAAUUCUAUUUCAAAUAAGUCACAAAUCUAAUUAUUUCUAUUUACUUGAUAUAUUUCUCAUUAUCAAAACAAAAAUAUGUUUCUUAUAAGAAAUCAUUCAUGUUCAUCCUGGUUACUUAAUGUGAGUCGGAGAGGAAAAACGAUGAUUAACUUGAUAUGGAAGGGAGAAAAGAUACAGUAUCUUGAUUCUAAUUCAACUCCUGUGAAAAGAUAACUUGCAAAAGGAUCAAAAUAAGUAUUCAUAUAAUUCAAAAUUGUUUACAUGCAAUAGUUAGACGUAGAGCCUAUUUGUGAUGCAAGUAAAAUUGCAAGCACAUUUCAUCAUAGACAUGGAUAGGCAAUACCUAAGGUAUUAGAAGAUGUACGAGUGUUUAAAUCAUCGGUAUUCCACAGAAAAUACAUAAACUUGCAAAACCUUUUUAGUCAUUCAUGUAAUUUAGAGGCCCAAUAAGGUUAAUAAAGUCAUCAAAUUAAACCUUUGGUAAUGAUACCUUUUUGUUAGGCAUUGCCUGGCAGAAAGUUGUAAGUAUGGCAGAAAGUUGAAUCUCCAUUUUUAAGGAUGGAAAAGGGAUCAAUAAGUACAAAUCUAAAGUAGGCCACGAAAAAGAAAUAAAACAAUUAAAAUGUUCAACUGACCAUAAACUACCAGAAAUUCGUCCAUGCCUGCCUGUAUCACAGAAAUUCAUGGAUAAAUUCAGGAAUCACCUCUGCCCAUUAUAAAGGUAAAUUGAAUGAGCCAUUGAAAUAUUUCAAUUGUCUAUGUUAAAAUGCAAGUACCUAUUGUCAGUCUUCCUCCACACCUCUUCACUUCUUUGUUUUCAGUCUUGUAGCAUAAGAGAAAAAACCUGAAGUCAAAGGGCAGAGUAUUUUUGCACACUCAAAUCUCCAACAACAGGGCAGCAAAAAUUGACGCAGGCCAUAUUGCAAAUUUCCAAUGGAAUAGUCUCAGAAGUGUGUUUGCUGCUGCCUUUCCAGGGGGAGACUCAUCAAAUAUUGUUUCAUUGGAAAGAUUAUAGUCAUAUAUCAAGAACACAAGUCUCUUAUACGUGGAGGGCUACUUGGCACCUUGCCUGCCUGACCAUAGGCAAUGGAAUCUUACAAGUUUGUGUAUAUUGCCACAAACUUUUGUUAACCUGAGAAACAUAAAUAUAUUAUCACAAUAGAAAUGAUUAGAAAUUCAGACGCACAUAAAUAUUGGCACAUUGGUCUUUUUGUUUUUUUGGAGUGUAGAACAAGUACCUGACUGACUGUAUGGCACACCCAAGUCAUUAUGUAUGUGGAAUCACCACCUUCAUUAGUCAUUAGUAUAGCACACGAUCUAUCACUAUGUGUGGAAUGUGAGCUAUAUAUUCCCAAUCUUGGCCUUUCUCAAAUUGGCAUCUACACUCUAGCAAAGGACAACCAUAGAUUUUCAGCCAAGAGAGGGAGUUUGGCAGUCUCUCUUUUGUCAAGUAUUGGAGCUGAUCGCAGUCAGAGAUAAACAAUUUUUUAAGAGAGGUGAGGUGUUGAAGACCUACUUCUCUCAAGGAUUCGAGCACAGGGAGGAAGUCCAUCUCUAACUCUUCAAGAGAGGUAAGAUGUUGAAGCCCCUCUUCUCCGAAGGAUUGGAACUUACGGCAGUUGGAGAUGUAUAAUGUUGUUAGAGAGGUAAGAUGUCGAAGCCCGUUGCUGUCCAGAGACUUGAGAUUCGGAAGAUUAGAUAUGUGAAGAGAGGUAAGUGUGGAGGGCAGUAGGGACUCAUUGGGAAAUGAUUCCAUGUCUCGGCAUCCAUCAUUGAUUCUGAAUUCUGUAAGAGAGGACAGUCUUUGCAAACCCCAGUCCACCUGAGAUGUGAGUUGGUUGCAGGAUGAAAUUUCAACUUCACGUAGGUCGGAGGGCAAACCAUCUCUCUGAAACAACAAUUCUGGACAAUCUAUUAACCUCAAUUCCUGCAACGAUGAGAGCGUGUGCGCCAGCAACUUCAGCUUCCUGCAUCUGGAGAUCUCAUAGUUUGCAGACUCGAGAGCGGGCAAUUCAAUAUAUACAAGAUCAGGGCACCGAAUGAUUUGAAAACUAUUAAGAGAUGUGGGAUCCCCCUCUGAAACGGAGAUGGAGAGGAAUUCAAGCCCUUCGAAAUCAGAGAUGUUGAGACUGUUCAACCGUGGGAAGAUGCUUAAUGAGAAAGAUAAUGAGAAAGAAUUACGGCUGCUAACAUCACAAAUGGAUAAACUUUCAAGGAAUGGAUGGUGGGAUCUCAAUAGCGCAUGCAGGAGAAACUCCAGUUUGUUACACUUCGAGAUACGUAGUGACUUCAAUGUAGUGGGGAAACCAACACUGUGCAAGGGUCUGGAGAAACGACAACUUGUGAUGCACAAAUGUUGGAGAAGACAUGUGCUUCUUUGUAGCAUUCCCUCCUCCAAUACCCACUCUAUCGAAUCACAUUCUCUAAUGAAUAGCGUCUGUAUUCGUGGUGGUAGUUCCUCCAAUUGAGAAAUGUCUGAAAUUUCAAUUACUGAAGUUUGGAGAUUAGUGAACCCACAAGCUGGCCUUUUCAACCGAAAUUUACCAGAAUACGACAUUUUCCAUUCACGGAUUUGAGGAGCUCGGAGGGAGCCCACAAGCAACUCACAACCAAUGAUUUCAAGUUUCUUCAAUGAACGAAGCUGUUUUGGUAAUUUCCCAGUGAGUUUGGGAGAUUCAUUUAUGCAAAGCUCCUGAAGACGAGGGAAUUCUCCACGUCUGCAUCCACAACAUAACCAUUUCUCCCAGUUGUACAUCUUCUCGAAUCUUAGAGUUUGUAGGGACGGGAAGGAGGGCUCAAUUGUGUUGGAGGAAGAAGCAUUCCCAUAAAAUUCACUACCCACCAUUUUAACUCCUUUCAUUUGUAAGAUAGAAAGAUGUUUAAGAGAGGGUAGCUGCCCGAGUGGUGGCAAUGAUGGACAAUUGUUACAAUUGUGAAGCUUCAGGUAAACAAGAUUGAAGAAUGAAGGAUCUCCUACCCAAGCUGGAAAGCUUAAACCACUAAAAGAAUAAAUAUGGAGUCUCUUGAGGUUUGUAUGUGGCUGUAAGCUGCUGAGUAUAUCCCUUCUAUUUUGCACAACAACACCAGCAUCGAUAUUCUUGUAAUCCCACUGCAACUUCAACUCAUCAAGGUACUUUUUAUCCUUCAUAUUAGCUUCUAAUGCAUCCCUAUCACAUACAACAUUCUGCAGCUUUGAAAUGACAAGACUUCCCGAAAGCUCCCUCAAUGCUCCCAAUCUUAACCCACCAUUUUGGCCCACAAUAAAUGUAGAAAGUGAUUGUAAAUUCUUUAGCUUACAUAUAUCACUUGGCAUCUCUUUCACUGAAGAAGUAUAACGAAUAUCAAGGUAGCGCAAAUUAAUCAAUUUUUCCAUCCUUGAGGGUAAUUCAACGAGAUAAUCACAUCCCAAUAACAUCAUUGUUUGUAAAUUGUAUAAGUUACAAACCGAUUCAGGCAACUUUUGAAUCCUUGUCCUAGAGAGAUCCAAGUAGCGCAAGUGUUUCAACUUCUCAAUCGAAUGAGGCAAAUCAGUAAUAAGAUAACCAUUCAAACACAACACUCGUAAACAUUUCAUUUCUGGCAAUAUAUGCUGUAAAACUCUAUUACUCAAGUAUGUAUAAUAAUAGUUUCUUCUUGGUAAAAAUGUUCGGAGACGCUUCAUUUGAGGAAGUGUGUCAAAACUCUCAUAUACAUCAAAUUCACUAAUCAAAUACGAUAAAUGACGAGUUUUCUUCGAGACUCUGUAUAUCUUACCAUCCUCCAAAGAAACAGAAAAUUCUAUAGAUACCAAUUGUGCCAAGUCAUUAACAAGGUCGUGCAUUACAAAACAUGACUCAUUACUUACUGAAUUUUGGAAAAAUGACUUUGAUAGAAGUUCUUCAAAGUACAAAUUGCCUACCUCCUCCGGUCUUUUCUUGCUUUUUGAUUGUUCCAACAAACCUUCUGCCAUCCAUAACAAAACUAGCUUCUCCUUUUCGAAUUUGUAGUCUUUGGGAAAGAUUGAACAAUAAGAAAAACAACGUUUUAGAUGUGAAGGCAGGUAAUAAUAACUCAACCUCAGAGCAGGAAGAACCGCAUCUGUGGGCAAAUCCCAUAAUUCACUGUUUAAUACAUCAUCCCAUUCUCUUGCUUCAACCUUGGAGUGUAAGAGACUCCCCAUUGCUUUUAUAGCCAGCGGUAGACCUUGGCACUUGUGGACAAUCUUUUCUCCGAUUGCUUCUAGUUGUGGAUGCCCACUUGAGUCUCCAUUUUCAAAUGCAAGUUUUUUGAACAGGGACCAGCCAUCUUCAGAGGAUAACCCACCUAAACAAUGAGUAUGGACUGCACGCAUGGCAGAUGCAACCUUGGUGCUUCUCGUAGUUACAAUAAUCUUGCUUCCCUUUGCCCCGACUAUGAGCGGAGUUCGUAGCGUAUCCCAGUCACAAGAGUCUUCGUUCCAAACAUCAUCAAGGACAAGUAGAAAUUUCUUCAUAUUAAUUCUCUCCUUCAGUUGAACCUGAAGUAGAUUUAGAUCAGUGGUAUUGGACGUGGAUGAAUUGAUUGCCUCGAGAAUUGUUUUCGUUACUCUGAUAGGAUCAAAUUCUUCGGAAACACAAACCCAUGCCUUGAGAUCGAAGUGUUCCUUCACCCUUUGGUCAUUGUAGAGAAGCUGGGCAAGUGUGGUUUUGCCUGUGCCACCCAUGCCGACUAUGGAGAUCACACCCAUCGCAUCAGUACUCCUUGCAUUAUUGCACAGCAACAGUUGAACCAUCUCCUCCUUAAUUUGAGCCCUGCCAUAGACAAGAGAUUCAUCUACCAAAGAAGUAGAAGGCCACCUUUGUGCCAAUUUCUCACCAACGCCUUCUUUCAACCCGAGGACGUCUCUGUCUCGUGCCAUAUCUUCUAGUCUAUCAAUGAUCUCCUCCACCCUAGACUCUAUGCCCUGACCAUAAAAUGGAGCGAGAACCCAGGUUGACAUGUCCAUGAUGUUACCCACCUGACUUGUGCUGGUUUGGGACUCCGCAGCUUCCACCUUGUGUCGCAAAGCCUCUGUGGUGAUCUCAUCCAAUAUGUCCUCCGCAUCAUACACGGCCUCUUUAAGCAAGACCAGCCACUUCUUCACAUAUGGAUUUGUAAAUUGUUUGACCUCAGCAUCGUUGAGCACUGCAUGGACGACCAGCAACUUCCUUUCCAACUUCUUCAGGAGCGCAUCGCUGAGCUUCUGCCCCCGGAUGAAGCUCACAACCUCGCGAGAAGCCAACCUGUCAAAUAGAACAUGGAGAGAAGCUGAGAGAAACGCACCUCCAACUAAAGCCCCUGCCAUUUCUGUUUCUCUUGCAAAGGAGGUGAAAGAUGAAUCGAGGGAAGAAGAAAGCAAGCAGACCCAAAAUGAAACCUCCAAACCAGAAAAAAAAAUUAUAGAGAAAAUCCAACUUGUUGACGGUAAAGGAACUUUGGAUUCCAAAGUUUUCAUGGUAGACCCCCCCAUAUGCCAGCUUUCUUUGCCGACAACAAACUUCAUUGGUCAAUAUAUAGAAAAUGAAAAUUUGAUUGAAGAUUUUCAUCCUUCGUACAUGAUUUUCCUUCUAUUGUGAUAAAAACGUAGACUUAAUUGAAGCUUCAUGAAAGCCAUCUUCUGACUUUUUCUGGAUUUCAUCAUUGAUUAAAUGAAAAGUUUUGGUUGUAAAUCAAGGUAUUUUGAGAAUUAAAUGAGAUUUAUAUAAAAAAAUUUAUGAAAAUUUACUUUUAUUGUGUGCUUAAUAUAGGUGAAACUAACAAUUUUUUAGGGUUAAUAUAAAUAUUUUUCUCGUCAGAAUCAUCAAACCAAAAAAAGUUAUCAGGUUUUGAUUUGGAUUUAAGGGUUAAAUCUUGGGGGAUCAUGAUUAAAGAAUGAUAUUAUAAAUAUAUAAUUUAUACAUCAAUUAAAAAUAACUCACAAAAAUUAAAAUUAUUUGUAAAUAUUUUAAAUAAUUGAAAUAUUUUACCAUUUUAUGUUUAAUAUUAUUAUAUUAAAUUGUGAUAAGAAUAAAAUAUAAAUUUAUUAAUAUUUUUAUUUUACUAGUUACUAAAAAUAUUGUAUUUAAUUAUUGAAAGAAUGUAUUAUAUAUAAAAAAUAGAAUAAGAUUUUGAUAUUUAUUUUUUUCAUUUUAUAUUUUAUAAAUCUUGUUAAUAUUUUAGUGUGAAUAUAUACAUGAAUAUCCAAUAUAUUUAUUUUAUAUAUAAAAAAAAACCAUGUUUAGGGGAAAAAUGGAAAUGGUUGGCACUUUUACAUUUAAGGGGAAAGCAAGUGGAGGCAACGUAGUUUGUAUCUUUUUUCUAUUAAAUACAAAAAAGAGGUACAAGAACCUAAAAAAUAGAAGAAAAAUAACAAAAAAAAAAAAAAAGACGCAACAGUUGGGAAAAGGUUGGUCUAAUUCUUAUUUGACCAACCAAUUUGAACUCUUAGACUUGCUUAAGCUUUUAGUAAAUUGAUUAUUCAAAAUGGUAUCAUAACUUGAUUUGAUAGGAGGUCUUAUUGAUAGGAGGUGUUAAGAAUAUAAUAUGAAUAUUAAACCCAAAUCGUAUAAAUUUAAUUUUUAGGGAAAUUGGUUGUUUAACAAGAUCGAUGGUUCAAGUGGUCCACUAGGUAAAAUUGUUCAAUUUCUCAAUAGUAGGAUGAUUGGUCGAUAUUCCAACAGGUCGAAUUAUCCAAUUUGGUUCAAUUUUUAAAACCUUAAUUAAUAAGCAACAACAUACAAUUUCUAGAUGGAUUAUGAUUCUUUUAUCGAAUUUCAAUAGAAUCGUUAAUGCAUAAAGUUUUUUUAUAUAUAGAUACUAUGGAUUUGUUUGGCAAAUUUUGAAAAACAAUUCUUAGUUAUUUUGAGGAAUAAAAUUCUAUUUGAAAACUCAAAUAUAAAAAAAGGCUUUAUUAAUUUAUUUUUUAUAAAAGUAUUGUGCAUUUAUGUAUAAUUCAAAAGUUUUUAAAAUAUUUUACAUUUUUUCAAUUAUUACUCACAACUCAAGCAUGCACAAAAAAUAACUAAAAACAUCUCAAUUUUAUUAUAAAAAAGUUAUUUUUAGAAUACAUUCUCAAAAAAUUAUUUUGUAUAAAAAAUGUUCUAUAGAAAAAAAAUAAAAAUUCAAAAUCAUUAGUAAGUAAGCCUAUGCAACUGUGAAUGCUUUGCACAAAAUGAAAAAGAAAAAUGGUAUUUUUCAAUACCAUUUGAAAUCAUGAAAAGACCAUAACCUUGCAUACAAUAUAUGGGUCAAGGCCUUUAAAAAAAAAAAAAUCUUUUUAUUUGGAUAUCUAACUUGGGAUUCAAGGUUUAAUUAGGAAUUUGGUCAUUCAUCACCAUUUUCAUUAGUUGAAAUUCUUUGGUAGACUUGGUUGUUGACUUGGUAGUUCAUAUCAAGCCAUAUGGACUUCAGACCCACCCACUAGAUAUGAAUGAAAAUAAAGGCAAGUGGGGGUGGUAGGAAGACUCUUAUUAAUAGCUUUUGUCAAGUACUGGAGCUUAGGGUAGUUGUGGACCAAUGUUACUUAGGAUCUUAUCAAUUCUUGUUACUGACAGCUGGGGUUGUAGCUUAAGAAAAUAUCUUCAAUCAAACAAAUGAUACACCAGCAAACCCAAGUCUCCAACAAGAAUCAAAUUUCGCAUACCAGAUUUUCACCUUAUCCUUUCUCUAUUAUUUUUUCAAACAAAAAUUCCAUUAAUGUUAAAUUAUUAUUAAGUUGCAUAUUUUAGUUGCUUGAAUAUCAUUAUUUAAUAAGGGGCCAUGGGGUGUUAUGUAAUCCAAGUAGAAAUUAAUAAUAACUCUUUGUGCAAUUGUUUAGCCUACAUUUUUUUUUCUUUUUUCAUUUAGACAACACUUGUAGCAUCUUAAAUCCUGGUUUCCCUCAUUGGAUUGAAGUAGUUUUAGCAGAAAAUGUAAUGUGCAAAACCAUGGCUGCUACAUGUAACUCUAUCGAUAUAUCUAAAUCAACUAUUUUUUUUUGUCAAAGGUGAAAAAUGAUUAGUACUAGUACAUUAAAAUAAGAACUAUAUGUUGCAUAAGGAAAAGGUUUAAUAUUGCAACAUAUUAAUAGAAGGGCAUCAACUAAAAUUAUCCAUAUAUAAAGGUGUAUAGGAUUUUAUUAUGAUUCGAUCAAUCAUGCCUACCUUCACAGAUGCGAGAUAACAUUUCACAAUAUGAUAGAAAAUAUUACAGAGGAUACAAAUAAUUACAACUAUUGGAUUUCAAAAUAUUUCAAGUUUUCCACUCUUUGUAUUUUCAUUCUAAAUCAUGAGCUAUUUUGCUCCAUCCGGUGUCUCCCACUCUUCCUCGUAUCUACACCCUAGACCGUAAGGCCUCUUACUCUAUCAGAUGUCUUUUACUCAUUUUCACAUCUCUAUCCAUAAUAUGUAGUCUUUACAAACUGACCUCUAUUAUAUCUCUUCUCAUAACUUUUUCAACUUGAUCAUAACCUAAAAUAUUUAUAGAGAUACUCCUAUUUGCUUUACUUAUUCUAUAAAGAAUCUAAUUACGAUCACAUAUCAACCUAGGAAACAUUUUAUAUAAUAUUCCUUUUUGACCGCUGGAUUUGUAAUUUGCUUCGCCUUGGCAUCAUUGAGCACGGCAUGGACAGACAACAAUUUUCUCUUCAACUUCUUGAGGAGUGCAUGAUUGAGCUUGUGCCCCAUGAUGAAGUUGAGUACCUCGUGAGAAGCAAGUCUGUGAAAUAGAACUUGGAGAGAAGCUGAGAGAAAAACACCUCCAGCCAAAGCCCCAUCCAUGUCUGUUUCUCUGGCAAAAGGAAGUGAAAGAUGAAUCGAGGGAAGAAAGUAAGCACACCUAAGAUGAAACCUCCAAACUAGAAAAGAUUGGUUCAGGCGAAGUUUCCAAUGGUUGAAUGAAUUAUUGGACAUUGUGGUAGAGCCCAGACUUCUGCAUUGUUAUUGUUGACAAAACAUCACAGCUCAGUGGUCCACGAAAAGAAUACAAGGAGAAAGGAAGAAAAGGAAAGGGGACGUAAACGAAAGUCAUACAUGGAUAUGUGAACUUACAAAUCCUAUAUCCUUUUAUCAAUAAAACAGUUGAAAUAUUUUAUCAUUUUUAUAUUAAAUCAUGAUAAAAAUAAAAUGUAAAUUUAUUAAUAUUUUUAUUUUAUUAGUUCGUAAAUUAUAAUAUUUAAUUACUAAAAAAUAUAUUAUAUGUCAAGAAAAGAAGAAGUUUUUUUCUUUUCCUUUUUCUUUUUUAAAAUUUUACGUGAAUAUUCAAUAUAUUCAUUUCAAAUAAUUAAUGUUAUUAAAAAUGGUAUUUUUAAUACUAUUUGACAUCAUAAAAGGACCAUAACCUUGCAUACAAUAUAUGGGUCAAGGCCUUUUCAAAAAAAUAAUUUGUUUUUAUUUGGUCAUUCAGCACCAUUUUCAUUUAUUGAAAUUCUUUCGUCGACUUGGUUGUUGACUUGGGAAUUCACGUCAACCCAUAUGGACUUCAGAUUCCCCACCAGAGAUGAAUGAAAAUAAAGGCAAAUAUGAAAGGCAAGUGGUGGUGGUAGGAAGACUCUUAUCAAUAACUUUUGUCAGGUACUGGAGCUUAGGGUGGCUGUAGACCAAUGUCAUCCCGAAUCUUAUCAAUCCCUGUUACUGACUGCCGGGGUUAUAGCUUAAGAAAAUAUCUUCAAUCAAUCAAAUGAUGCAUCCGCAAAUCCAGGUCUCCAGCAAAAUUCAAAUCAUUAUUCACAUCACAACCUUUUUUGAACCUAUGUGCAAGCAAGGAGGCUGCUCGUGCGGUUAGGUGUUAAUGAAGGAUGAAAAUAUCGGUAAUCAUGGAUAUAUUAGUACUUGAAUUUUACGGAUAUAUUGAGAUAUAUCGACGAAUAUUUUGCCACAAAAUAUCGAUAGAUCAAAAAUUCAUCAAAACUUAUGAAAAUGUAAGAAAAAAACUCUUAAAAAUGAAAUUAGAAGUAUAAUAGACAUUUUAAAGUUGUUUUGUUGAAAAAUUAAUAUAUGUAUGAUAUGAUUUGCGAUAUUAAAUUUAAUUAUAUAGUGUUGACUAAUAAGAAAUGUGAAUUUUUUAAGUGUAGACUCAUUAUGAAGUUAAAUUAUUACAAAUAUACUAAUUAUAUAAUUUAAAUAUAUUACUAUAUUAAGUUAAUUUACUUACCUCUAUUGAAAAUAUAUUAAUUAAUUGUAAAAAUGUACUAAUUUAAAUUCAAUGUUAUAUUAAUUUAAAAUUGUAUUAAGUUAAUUUAUUCUUAAUAUACUAUUAUUACACUUGAAUAUCAAAAUAAAAUAAAAUUAUUAAUUUAAAACUAAAUUAUUGAAAAUUUACUAAUUAUGUUAUUUAAAAAUAUUUAUGAUUUUUAUUUUAAAAUAUUGGUACAUUUUGAUACAAAAUAUUUUUAUUUUAAAAUAUUGAUAAUUUUAUUUGUGAUUUUAUAUUUGUUUUAUAUUUAAUUAGUAUACAAAAUAAAUUAUAAGAUAAUUAAAGUUAACUUAUUUAUAAUAAUUUAAUUUUUUACCAAUUUUUCACUGAUAUAUUAUAUCCAAUAUAUCUUUGAAAUUUCAGCAAUUUUUUCCCAUUUAGGAUCGAUAUUUUGCUUGUAUCACCGAUAUAUUUGUGACACCGAAAUUUACCGAUAUUUCCAUCAGAUGAUAUAUCUUACUUAUAUAUUGUAUCCACCUUCUUCGAUACACUAUAUAUCGGCGAGAUAUUGCCAAUAUAUCUUGAUAUUUUCUUCCUUGGUGUUAACAGGGUUAGCCAAUUUGUUGAAUUUGUAGUUUAACAUCCACACACACAUUCUUUCCACAUCAUUUGAUGGCCAUUCAUAGAUUAUAUAUAAAUUUAGAGUACUUAGGAUUUGAGGGCCAUGAAGGGAAAAAAGACAGUGGUAAAGAAGGAAAAAAGUAGAACUGUAAUUAGCUUGGCCCUUGAGAAAUAUUUUUUGGUCACACUGUUCCAUCAUUUGGCCUGAACGAAAAUCCUCAAUAUGUCAAAGCUAUAUUGUACAAAAUUCCUUACAGGCUAAUAUUUGUUGACACACUUCUGCCAUGAAUACAUAAGCCGGUAGUGUUAGAGCUCUCCACAUUACUGAGACAGAUGGGCUCCUGUCAUGAAACAUUUGAUUUUUCCAGGAAAAGGAAAAUUUUGUCCUAGUUGAGUUCCAAUGACCCGUCCUUAUAUUUGCUUGCGCAAUUUUGGAGUUCAUUCUCUCCCUCCUUAAUUGUCUAAGAACUGAUGGAUGCUAAUCUUAAACCGUCUGGCAUUAGCCAACCCUAUGGAGAUGGAAAACAUGGUAGUUAGGUGUGGCGAAGAAGUCUCAAAGCUCUUGGACCCUUUUGAAGAGGCAGGAAUUGAAGAAAUUGUUGAAAUCAUGAGUGGAUUUUCAAGAGAUUGUGAGGAAGUCGCCAACAUCGACAAGUUUCAAGCGAGGAAAGCAGUUAUGAGCAGGAUGUUGGUGAAGAGCCUGCAACCUGGGGAUGUCAUGUUUGAGAGAAUAUCCCAUGCUGUUUAUUUGGCUGCAAGAGGAGUAGUGCUUGUAGG
rnacentral:lncRNA from 1 species